rnacentral:lncRNA from 1 species
CCUCACUGGGGCUUCCUGUAGGGCUGGACAAAGGACAUUUCCUGGGAGGAGCGGGAGAAUGUUCCCAGCAUGCCUCGAUUUGUAGUUCCCGGGGACUUCCUGCCACCGCAGCAGCGGGCGCCCUGGAGAACUUGAUUGCUCACCAGGAAUUCAGGUUCCUUAAGAUCUUGGCGCUUCAUCUUUAAAACCAUACAGAGCUGAUUGUUUCCAGAUCCCGACCCGGUGACAUUCCUCCCUCAUUGUUGACCUUGUCCCAAACAUCUUUUCAAGAAAAGCAAUUAAAUUGAGAUUGAAAAUAAAUUACGUAAAUUAAAUAUUAGACGUGAAAACCUGUGUGCUGCUGAAUUAGGAAAGUGCUGGACUUUCUGCGUAUCUUUCCUUCAUUAACCUUUAGGAUUCAGCUUCUUGGUCCCAUAAAACAGAUGUGCUGGCCACUGUAUAUUGAGUGUGUGUAUUUCGGGAGUGGAAGGGUGAGGAGAAGAGGACAUUGGCUACAAGAGAGGAACUCUACUUCCAGCCUAGCAAGAGUCUAUGAUGCCCUGCACAUGUUUUUGUCUAUUUCUGGGACCACAGACUCAGGACCCUUAGAAAAUCAAGGAAGGACCACAUAGAGACUAAAUGACUAAAAGCUAUAUUCUCUCCUGGAGCAUGAGCAGAAAGUAAUAAACUGAACUAGGAAAGGACAAGUUCUAGGAUGCUCUAGAAUGUGUUUGAAAAGUAAUCAGAUAGAAAAGUCUCUGGGAGGCCGGGCGCGGUGGCUCACGCCUGUAAUCCCAGCACUUUGGGAGGCCGAGGCGGGCGUACUACGAGGUCAGGAGAUGGAGACCAUCCUGGCUAAUACGGUGAAACCCCGUCUCUACUAAAAAAAAAAACACCAAAAAUUAGCCGGGCGUGGUGGCGGGCACCUGUAGUCCCAGCUACUCGGGAGGCUGAGGCAGGAGACUGGAAUGAACCUGGGAGGCAGACCUUGCAGUGAGCUGAGAUCAUGUCAGUGCACUCCAGCCUGGGCAACAAAGUGAGACUCCGUCUCAAAAAAAAAAAAGAAAGAAAGAAAGAAAAGUCUCUGGGCUUGGUGGCUCAUGCCUGUAAUCACAGCACUUUGGGAGGCCGAAGUGGGAGGGUCACUUGAGCCCAGGAGUUCAAGACCAGCCUGGGCAACACAGUGAGACCCUGUUUCUACGAAAAGUAAAAUAAAAUAAAUAGCGGGUG